UUACUCUGGUGGGGAUUAUUAUGAGCAAACAAACUUAAAAGUUUAAUCUGAACACUAUAUAACGUUAUAUGCAAUCUGACACUUAUUCAUUUAAUUUUUUUUACAGAAAUUCUGAGCUGCUGCAUGAACAUUCAUCAAACAUAUAAGGCUGCAAUUUGGAAAAAACUUUCAAGCUAAUGCUGCUGAAAUGGAGGUCAAGGGGACUAUGAAGAGGUGGCUCCAGCUGAAGGGUGGACUUCAGGAGGCAGACACACUCUGUUACAGUAAUUAGCUGAUCCAGUCGGUAUCCAGACCAGAUGGUGGACCUGCACCCAGGAACGACCACAACACAUCCCUGACUGUCAGCGGAGACCAUGACAGAUCUCUGUGAAGACCUCAUUGAUGGCCCCAGCACAGAUCCUCAGCAAAGACUACGAGAACCAGACAAGCCCUCUGCGCAGACCCUUUUUACCAGCUUCACCUGCUGGCGUGAUAUUACUUCAUGCAGAAGAAGUUGGAUGAAAUAUUCUGAAUGAUAUCAAUCCACAAUCUGACUUGUGAUGCAGCCUGGAAUAAUCACACCACGUUCAUUCGUUUGGCCAGAGGAGACUGUUUCCUGACUGAGCCGGGUCUUGUUUGGGUUUCUUGUCACUGUUGCCUUUUGUCUUGCUUGGUUGAAGACACCUAAUAUUCAGCAAUAUUAUUGACUUGUCUGCACUGACACCAUUUGAUAAGAAUUGAACUGAAUUAUGACACACAAUGUUUUAUAUAUG